GUAAGUGAAGGCCAAUUCAGCCAUGUUCUGCUUCAUGAAAUGGACGCAAUCAGGAAGGCCUGCGCCUCAUUGGAGGAGGGGUAUAUGCCCCCAGUCACCUUUGUGGUUGUCCAGAAAAGGGAUCACACCAGGCUGUUCCCUGAUGUUCAUGGGAGGCGUGAUAUGACUGACAAGAGUGGGAACAUACUUCCUGGUUAG
rnacentral:rRNA from 1 species